AUUGAUGUUGAAUCAAUUCCAGAGCAGGUUAUUAGUAAAUUAUUCAAGCAGAAAUUUAGGGAUUAUUACUCGUUUCUCUAAAGCCUUAGCACAUCCGGGACGAGAAAGUGAAGGUUCUUCAGUCG